rnacentral:rRNA from 1 species
UGAGGAAUAUUGGUCAAUGGGCGGGAGCCUGAACCAGCCAAGCCGCGUGAGGGAGGAAGGCCCUAUGGGUCGUAAACCUCUUUUGUCAGGGAACAAAAAGCGAGUAUGUAUACUAGUCUGAGUGUACCUGAAGAAAAAGCAUCGGCUAACUCCGUGCCAGCAGCCGCGGUAAUACGGAGGAUGCGAGCGUUAUCCGGAUUUAUUGGGUUUAAAGGGUGCGUAGACGGCGGUGCAAGUCAGCGGUAAAAGCCCGGGGCUCAACCCCGGCGAGCCGUUGAAACUGCAGUGCUAGAGAAGGCGAGAGGUACGCGGAAUGCGCAGUGUAGCGGUGAAAUGCUUAGAUAUUGCGCAGAACUCCGAUUGCGAAGGCAGCGUACUGGCGCCUGACUGACGCUGAGGCACGAAAGCGUGGGGAUCGAACAGGAUUAGAUACC